UUAGCUAUGGAUCACAAUGUGUACGAUCUACGGUGUGAUAUAUGUCUACGCCUAUGGAUCUAUACGAGAGUUACCGCCUCGCAAGGGGUCAUGGUCUUCGGAUCUGUGUGACGACGUGAAUACAAAGCUUCUAAUCGUCUUCGGACAAACCUUUUCUGACAUCUGACCUCAAAUCAGGUAGGACUACCCGCUGAACUUAA
rnacentral:misc_RNA from 1 species